rnacentral:rRNA from 1 species
AUUGAACGCUGGCGGCGUGCCUAACACAUGCAAGUCGAGCGGUAACAGGUGUAGCAAUACAUGCUGACGAGCGGCGGACGGGUGAGUAACGCUUGGGAAUCUGCCUGUUAGGUGGGGGACAACCCGGGGAAACUCGGGCUAAUACCGCAUACGCACUACGGUGGAAAGCCGGGGACCGCAAGGCCUGGCGCUAACNGAUGAGCCCAAGUCGGAUUAGCUAGUUGGUAGGUAACGGCCUACCAAGGCGACGAUCCGUAACUGGUCUGAGAGGACGACCAGUCACACCGGAGCUGAGACAC